rnacentral:rRNA from 1 species
UACGAAGGGGGCUAGCGUUGUUCGGAAUCACUGGGCGUAAAUGGUGCGCAGGCGGAUUUUUAAGUCAGGGGUGAAAUCCCGAGGCUCAACCUCGGAACUGCCUUUGAUACUGGGGAUCUUGAGUCCGGAAGAGGUGAGUGGAACUGCGAGUGUAGAGGUGAAAUUCGUAGAUAUUCGGAAGAACACCAGUGGCGAAGGCGGCCCGCUGGACCGGCAUUGACGCUGAGGCGCGAAAGCUAGGGGAGCAAACAGG